GCAGUCGUGGCCGAGUGGUUAAGGCGAUGGACUCGAAAUCCAUUGGGGUUUCCCCGCACAGGNCACAGGUUCGAAUCCUGUCGGCUGCG